UACGUAGGGUGCAAGCGUUGUCCGGAAUUAUUGGGCGUAAAGAGCUUGUAGGCGGUUUGUCGCGUCUGCUAGUGAAAUUUCGGGGCUCAACCCCGAACUUGCAGUGGGUACGGGCAGACUAGAGUGUGGUAGGGGAGACUGGAAUUCCUGGUGUAGCGGUGAAAUGCGCAGAUAUCAGGAGGAACACCGAUGGCGAAGGCGGCUCUCUGGACCACAACUGACGCUGAGGCGCGAAAGCUAGGGGAGCAAACAGG
rnacentral:rRNA from 1 species